rnacentral:lncRNA from 1 species
UCUCUGCCGAUACGAGCAUGGGAGGAUCCGCCGAUUCUAUACGGGCUCGGACUCGGCGGCUGGUCUUCUUGGUGACUCUCUUCUGAGUUUGUUUUGAUCGGCCAGCAAUCACGUCCACGGACGGAGCGUCAUAGCCGAUGAGAGGGUAGGAGGUGUAUGGAUGAUGACCCUCUAUUAGCCGACCACUCCGGCUGUGUGUUGGAGGAGUACGAUUCUCAGCCUGAAGAAAUAGUAAAACAUUAGUGUUCAGUCGCGU